rnacentral:rRNA from 1 species
CUGCUGCCUUCCGUAGGAGUUUGGGCCGUGUCUCAGUCCCAAUGUGGCCGGUCACCCUCUCAGGUCGGCUACUGAUCGUCGCCUUGGUGGGCUGUUAUCUCACCAACUAGCUAAUCAGAUGCGGGCCCAUCUUUUACCGAAUAAAUCCUUUCUUUCCUAGAAGAUGCCUUCCAAGAACCGUAUGCGGUAUUAGUCACCGUUUCCAGUGAUUAUUCCCCAGUAAAAGGCAGGUUACCCACACGUUACUCACCCGUCCGCCGCUAAAAUAAUA